rnacentral:rRNA from 1 species
CGCGUAGGUGGUUCGAUCAGUCGGAGGUGAAAGCCCUCGACUCAACCGAGGAUCCGCGUCCGAUACUGUCGAACUUGAGUGCAGGAGAGGAGAGCGGAAUUCCCAGUGUAGCGGUGAAAUGCGUAGAUAUUGGGAGGAACACCGGUGGCGAAGGCGGCUCUCUGGACUGCCACUGACACUGAGGCGCGAAAGCUAGGGGAGCAAACGGGAUUAGAUACCCCGGUAGUCCUAGCCGUAAACGAUGGGCACUAGGUGUGGGAGGUAUCGACCCCUUCCGUGCCGCAGCUAACGCACUAAGUGCCCCGCCUGGGGAGUACGGCCGCAAGGUUGAA